CGUACUUUUUGUAGAACGGGCCAACGAGUUACGUUAAGUAGCAAGGUUAAGCACUUAAGGUGCGGAGCCGUAGCGAAAGCGAGUUUUAACUGAGCGUUCAGUUACUUGACGUAGACCCGAAACCGGGCGACCUACCCAUGAGCAGGAUGAAGCGAAAGUAAAAUUUCGUGGAGGUCCGAACCCACGAGCGUUGAAAAGCUCGGGGAUGACUUGUGGGUAGCGGUGAAAUUCCAAUCGAGCCCGGAGAUAGCUGGUUCUCCCCGAAAUAGCUUUAGGGCUAGCCUCAAGGUGAGAGAUACGGAGGUAGAGCACUGAAUGUCCUAGGGGGUAUUGCACCUACCGAAGACUAUCAAACUCCGAAUGCCGUCAUCUUAUACUUGGGAGUCAGACUGUGGGUGAUAAGAUUCAUAGUCGAAAGGGCAACAGCCCAGAUCGUCAGCUAAGGUCCCUAAAUGUAAGUUAAGUGGUAAAGGAUGUGGGAUUGCACAGACAACCAGGAUGUUGGCUUAGAAGCAGCCACUCAUUCAAAGAGUGCGUAAUAGCUCACUGGUCGAGUGAUCCUGCGCCGAAGAUUUCCGGGGCUAAAACUUACUACCGAAGCUACGGCAUCAGUAAUGAUGGGUAGGGGAGCUUCCCAUACGGGUUGAAGCAUGACCGUAAGGACAUGUGGACAGUAUGGGAGUGAGAAUGUUGGCAUGAGUAGCGAGAUGUGGGUGAGAAUCCCACAGGCCGUAAACCCAAGGUUUCCAGGGGAAGGUUCGUCCGCCCUGGGUUAGUCGGGACCUAAGCUGAGGCCGAAAGGCGUAGGUGAUGGACAACAGGUUGAUAUUCCUGUACUACCGAUAACCGUUUGAGAGAAGGGAUGACACAGUAGGAUAAGCUAAGCACACUGUUGGUUAUGUGUGCCCAAGCAUUGAGGCAGUCAAAGUAGGCAAAUCCGCUUUGAUAAUGCUGGGAUGUGAUGGGGAGCGAAAUUUAGUAGCGAAGUAGCUGAUUUCACACUGUCAAGAAAAGUCUCUAUCGAGGUUAAAGGUACCCGUACCGCAAACCGACACAGGUGGGUGAGGAGAGUAUCCUAAGGCCAGCGAGAGAACUGUUGUUAAGGAACUCGGCAAAAUGACCCCGUAACUUAGGGAUAAGGGGUGCCACCAUCAGGUGGCCGCAGAGAAUAGGCCCAAGCGACUGUUUACCAAAAACAUAGGUUUCUGCUAAGUCGCAAGACGAUGUAUAGGAGCUGACGCCUGCCCGGUGCUGGAAGGUUAAGGGGAUCUGUUAGAGCAAUCGAAGCAGUGAACUUAAGCCCCAGUAAACGGCGGCCGUAACUAUAACGGUCCUAAGGUAGCGAAAUUCCUUGUCGGGUAAGUUCCGACCCGCACGAAAGGCGUAACGAUUUGGGCACUGUCUCAACAACAGACUCGGUGAAAUUGUAAUUCCGGUGAAGAUGCCGGAUACCUGCGACAGGACGGAAAGACCCCAUGGAGCUUUACUGUAGCUUGACAUUGGGUCUUGGUACUACAUGUACAGGAUAGGUGGGAGGCUUUGAAACCAGGACGCCAGUUUUGGCGGAGCCAUCCUUGGGAUACCACCCUUGUAGUACUGGGACUCUAACCAUAGGCCAUGAAUCUGGUCUUGGGACACUGUCAGGUGGGCAGUUUGACUGGGGCGGUCGCCUCCCAAAAGGUAACGGAGGCGCUCAAAGGUUCUCUCAGUACGGUCGGAAAUCGUACGUAGAGUGUAAAGGCAAAAGAGAGCUUGAUUGCAAGACAUACAGGUCGAGCAAGGAUGAAAAUCGGACUUAGUGAUCCGGUGGUUCUGCGUGGAAGGGCCAUCGCUCAACGGAUAAAAGCUACCCUGGGGAUAACAGGCUUAUCUCCCCCAAGAGUCCACAUCGACGGGGAGGUUUGGCACCUCGAUGUCGGCUCAUCACAUCCUGGGGCUGUAGUAGGUCCCAAGGGUUGGGCUGUUCGCCCAUUAAAGUGGUACGCGAGCUGGGUUCAGAACGUCGUGAGACAGUUCGGUCCCUAUCCGUCGCAGGCGUAGGAAAUUUGAGAAGACCUGUCCUUAGUACGAGAGGACCGGGAUGGACGUACCUCUGGUGUACCAGUUGUUCUGCCAAGGGCAUGGCUGGGUAGCUAUGUACGGAAUGGAUAAGCGCUGAAAGCAUCUAAGCGCGAAGCCAACUUCAAGAUAAGAUUUCCCACCGCAAGGGUAAGACCCCAGAAAGACUAUCUGGUUGAUAGGUCGAAGGUGUAAGUGCAGCAAUGUAUUUAGCUUAUCGAUACUAAUAGGUCGAGGACUUGACCAA
rnacentral:rRNA from 1 species